rnacentral:rRNA from 1 species
CAAUAGCGUAUAUUAAAGUUGUUGCGGUUAAAAAGCUCGUAGUUGGAUUUCUGCCGAGAACGACCGGUCCGCCCUCUGGGUGAGUAUCUGGCUUGGCCUGGGCAUCUUCUUGGAGAACGUAGCUGCACUUGACUGUGUGGUGCGGUAUCCAGGACUUUUACUUUGAGGAAAUUAGAGUGUUUCAAGCAGGCAUGCGCCUUGAAUACAUUAGCAUGGAAUAACGCUAUAGGACUCUGGUCCUAUUGUGUUGGUCUUCGGGACCGGAGUAAUGAUUAAGAGGGACAGUUGGGGGCAUUCGUAUUUCAUUGUCAGAGGUGAAAUUCUUGGAUUUAUGAAAGACGAACUUCUGCGAAAGCAUUUGCCAAGGAUGUUUUCAUUGAUCAAGAACGAAAGUUAGGGGAUCGAAGAUGAUUAGAUACCGU